AUUGAACGCUGGCGGCAGGCCUAACACAUGCAAGUCGAGCGGAUGAAGGGAGCUUGCUCCUGGAUUCAGCGGCGGACGGGUGAGUAAUGCCUAGGAAUCUGCCUGGUAGUGGGGGAUAACGUCCGGAAACGGGCGCUAAUACCGCAUACGUCCUGAGGGAGAAAGUGGGGGAUCUUCGGACCUCACGCUAUCAGAUGAGCCUAGGUCGGAUUAGCUAGUUGGUGGGGUAAAGGCCUACCAAGGCGACGAUCCGUAACUGGUCUGAGAGGAUGAUCAGUCACACUGGAACUGAGACACGGUCCAGACUCCUACGGGAGGCAGCAGUGGGGAAUAUUGGACAAUGGGCGAAGGCUUGAUCCAGCCAUGCCGCGUGUGUGAAGAAGGUCUUCGGAUUGUAAAGCACUUUAAGUUGGGAGGAAGGGCAGUAAGUUAAUACCUUGCUGUUUUGACGUUACCAACAGAAUAAGCACCGGCUAACUUCGUG
rnacentral:rRNA from 1 species